rnacentral:tRNA from 1 species
GGAGUGGUGUCCGAGUUGGCUUAAGGAGCACGACUGGAAAUCGUGUAGGCGGGGGUAACCCGCCUCGAGGGUUCGAAUCCCUCCCACUCCGCCU